GAUGAACGCUGGCGGCGUGCCUAACACAUGCAAGUCGAGCGAUCUUCUUCGGAAGAGAGCGGCGGACGGGUGAGUAACGCGUGGGUAACCUGCCCUGUACACACGGAUAACAUACCGAAAGGUAUGCUAAUACGGGAUAACAUAAGAAAGUCGCAUGGCUUUCUUAUCAAAGCUUUUGCGGUACAGGAUGGACCCGCGUCUGAUUAGCUAGUUGGUAAGGUAACGGCUUACCAAGGCGACGAUCAGUAGCCGACCUGAGAGGGUGAUCGGCCGCAUUGGAACUGAGACACGGUCCAAACUCCUACGGGAGGCAGCAGUGGGGAAUAUUGCACAAUGGGCGAAAGCCUGAUGCAGCAACGCCGCGUGAGCGAUGAAGGCCUUCGGGUCGUAAAGCUCUGUCCUCAAGGAAGAUAAUGACGGUACUUGAGGAGGAAGCCCCGGCUAACUACGUGCCAGCAGCCGCGGUAAUACGUAGGGGGCUAGCGUUAUCCGGAAUUACUGGGCGUAAAGGGUGCGUAGGCGGUCUUUCAAGUCAGAAGUGAAAGGCUACGGCUCAACCGUAGUAAGCUUUUGAAACUGUAAGACUUGAGUGCAGGAGAGGAGAGUGGAAUUCCUAGUGUAGCGGUGAAAUGCGUAGAUAUUAGGAGGAACACCAGUUGCGAAGGCGGCUCUCUGGACUGUAACUGACGCUG
rnacentral:rRNA from 1 species